rnacentral:rRNA from 1 species
CUACGGGCUGCUCCAGUGAGGAAUGUUGCACAAUGGGGGGAACCCUGAUGCAGCAACGCCGCGUGGAGGAUGACGCAUUUCGGUGUGUAAACUCCUUUUAUAUGUCAAGAAAAUGACGGUAGCAUAUGAAUAAGCACCGGCUAACUCCGUGCCAGCAGCCGCGGUAAUACGGAGGGGCAAGCGUUACUCGGAAUCACUGGGCGUAAAGGACGCGUAGGCGGGUUGGAAAGUCAGGUGUGAAAUCCUACAGCUUAACUGUAGAACUGCACUUGAAACUUCUAAUCUAGAGUAUGGGAGGGGGAGAUGGAAUUAGUGGUGUAGGGGCAAAAUCCGUAGAUAUCACUAGGAAUACCUAAAGCGAAGGCGAUCUCCUGGAACAUUACUGACGCUAAGGCGUGAAAGCGUGGGGAGCAAACAGGAUUAGAUACCCGUGUAGUC